UGCAGUCGAGGGGUAACAGGGAGCUUGCUCCGCUGACGACCGGCGCACGGGUGCGCAACGCGUAUGCAAUCUACCUCUUACUAGGGGAUAGCCCAGAGAAAUUUGGAUUAAUACCCUAUAUUAUAUGGAGUCGGCAUCGGCAUUAUAUUAAAGGUUACGGUAAGAGAUGAGCAUGCGUCCCAUUAGUUAGUUGGUAAGGUAACGGCUUACCAAGACUUCGAUGGGUAGGGGUCCUGAGAGGGAGAUCCCCCACACUGGUACUGAGACACGGACCAGACUCCUACGGGAGGCAGCAGUGAGGAAUAUUGGACAAUGGGCGGAAGCCUGAUCCAGCCAUGCCGCGUGCAGGAAGACUGCCCUAUGGGUUGUAAACUGCUUUUAUACGGGAAGAAUAAGGUCUACGUGUAGACUGAUGACGGUACCGUAAGAAUAAGGACCGGCUAACUCCGUGCCAGCAGCCGCGGUAAUACGGAGGGUCCGAGCGUUAUCCGGAAUUAUUGGGUUUAAAGGGUCCGUAGGCGGGCUGUUAAGUCAGGGGUGAAAGUUUGCAGCUCAACUGUAAAAUUGCCUUUGAUACUGGCGGUCUUGAGUUAUAUUGAAGUGGCUAGAAUAUGUAGUGUAGCGGUGAAAUGCAUAGAUAUUACAUAGAAUACCGAUUGCGAAGGCAGGUCACUAAGUAUUAACUGACGCUGAUGGACGAAAGCGUGGGUAGCGAACAGGAUUAGAUACCCUGGUAGUCCACGCCGUAAACGAUGGAUACUAGCUGUGUGGUUUUCGGACUGCGCGGCCAAGCGAAAGUGAUAAGUAUCCCACCUGGGGAGUACGUUCGCAAGAAUGAAACUC
rnacentral:rRNA from 1 species